CCAGUAAACGGCGGCCGUAACUAUAACGGUCCUAAGGUAGCGAAAUUCCUUGUCGGGUAAGUUCCGACCUGCACGAAUGGCGUAAUGAUGGCCAGGCUGUCUCCACCCGAGACUCAGUGAAAUUGAACUCGCUGUGAAGAUGCAGUGUACCCGCGGCAAGACGGAAAGACCCCGUGAACCUUUACUAUAGCUUGACACUGAACAUUGAGCCUUGAUGUGUAGGAUAGGUGGGAGGCUUUGAAGUGUGGACGCCAGUCUGCAUGGAGCCAACCUUGAAAUACCACCCUUUAACGUUUGAUGUUCUAACCUAGGCCCAUAAACUGGGUCGGGGACCGUGUCUGGUGGGUAGUUUGACUGGGGCGGUCUCCUCCUAAAGAGUAACGGAGGAGCACGAAGGUUGGCUAAGCAUGGUCGGACAUCAUGCGGUUAGUGCAAAGGCAUAAGCCAGCUUGACUGCGAGAGUGACGGCUCGAGCAGGUACGAAAGUAGGUCUUAGUGAUCCGGUGGUUCUGAAUGGAAGGGCCAUCGCUCAACGGAUAAAAGGUACUCCGGGGAUAACAGGCUGAUACCGCCCAAGAGUUCAUAUCGACGGCGGUGUUUGGCACCUCGAUGUCGGCUCAUCACAUCCUGGGGCUGAAGUAGGUCCCAAGGGUAUGGCUGUUCGCCAUUUAAAGUGGUACGCGAGCUGGGUUUAGAACGUCGUGAGACAGUUCGGUCCCUAUCUGCCGUGGGCGUUGGAAGAUUGAGAGGGGUUGCUCCUAGUACGAGAGGACCGGAGUGAACGCACCACUGGUGUUCGGGUUGUCAUGCCAAUGGCAUUGCCCGGUAGCUAAGUGCGGAAGAGAUA
rnacentral:rRNA from 1 species